rnacentral:rRNA from 1 species
AGUGAACGCUGGCGGUAGGCCUAACACAUGCAAGUCGAACGGCAGCACAGUAAGAGCUUGCUCUUACGGGUGGCGAGUGGCGGACGGGUGAGGAAUACAUCGGACUCUACUUUUUCGUGGGGGAUAACGUAGGGAAACUUACGCUAAUACCGCAUACGACCUACGGGUGAAAGCAGGGGAUCUUCGGACCUUGCGCGAUUGAAUGAGCCGAUGUCGGAUUAGCUAGUUGGCGGGGUAAAGGCCCACCAAGGCGACGAUCCGUAGCUGGUCUGAGAGGAUGAUCAGCCACCCUGGAACUGAGACACGGUCCAGACUCCUACGGGAGGCAGCAGUGGGGAAUAUUGGACAAUGGGCGCAAGCCUGAUCCAGCCAUACCGCGUGGGUGAAGAAGGCCUUCGGGUUGUAAAGCCCUUUUGUUGGGAAAGAAAAGCAGCAGGUUAAUACCCCGCUGUUCUGACGGUACCCAAAGAAUAAGCACCGGCUAACUUCGUG